AGAGUUUGAUCCUGGCUCACAGUGAACGCUGGCGGCGUGGCUAAGGCAUGCAAGUCGCACGGGGCUGUAAAGCCCAGUGGCGCAAGGGUGAGUAAUGGAUAGCUAACGUACCUUUAACCGGGGCAUAGCCAGUCGAAAGAUUGGGUAAUUCCCCAUAACGUCAUCGGGCAGCAUUGUUUGGUGAUCAAAGAUGAGGACCG
rnacentral:rRNA from 1 species